rnacentral:rRNA from 1 species
AUUGAACGCUGGCGGCAUGCUUUACACAUGCAAGUCGAACGGGGUGAGGGGGCAACCUCUCACUCAGUGGCGAACGGGUGAGUAAUACAUCGGAACGUGUCCCGUAGUGGGGGAUAACGCCGCGAAAGCGGCGCUAAUACCGCAUACGCUCUACGGAGGAAAGCGGGGGACCCGCAAGGGCCUCGUGCUAGGGGGGCGGCCGAUGUCCGAUUAGGUUGUUGGUGGGGUAAUGGCCUACCAAGCCUGCGAUCGGUAGCUGGUCUGAGAGGAUGAUCAGCGAAACUGGGACUGAGACACGGCCCAGACUCCUACGGGAGGCAGCAGUGGGGAAUUUUGGACAAGGGGGGCAACCCUGAUCCAGCCAUGCCGCGUGCGGGAAGAAGGCCUUCGGGUUGUAAACCGCUUUUAGCCGGGACGAAAGCGCCACGGAUAACACCCGUGGCGGUUGACGGUACCGGCGGAAUAAGCACCGGCUAACUACGUGCCAGCCGCCGCGGUAAAAC